CCUACGGGAGGCUGCAGUGAGGAAUAUUGGUCAAUGGCCGGAAGGCUGAACCAGCCAAGCCGCGUGAAGGACGAAGGUGCCACGCAUUGUAAACUUCUUUUGUCAAGGGACAAAAUCAGGCUCGAGAGCCUGACCGAGGGUACUUGAAGAAAAAGCAUCGGCUAACUCCGUGCCAGCAGCCGGGGUAAUACGGAGGAUGCGAGCGUUAUCCGGAUAUAUUGGGUUUAAAGGGUGCGUAGGCGGGCUGUUAAGUCAGCGGUAAAAGCCCGGGGCUCAACCGCGGAACCGCUUUGGAAACUGCGAGGCUUGAGUGCUGGAGAGGUAAGCGGAAUUCCUGGUGUAGCGGUGAAAUGCGUAGAUAUCAGGAGGAACACCGGUGGCGAAGGCGGCCUACUGGACAGUGACUGACGUUGAGGCUCGAAAGCGUGGGGAGCGAACAGGAUUAGAUACCCUUGUAGUC
rnacentral:rRNA from 1 species